UUUUUCUCGACGACUAGCUUU
rnacentral:piRNA from 1 species